rnacentral:rRNA from 1 species
AUUGAACGCUGGCGGCAGGCUUAACACAUGCAAGUCGAACGAGUGGCGGACGGUUGAGUAAUGCUUGGGAAUCUAGCUUAUGGAGGGGGAUAACUACGGGAAACUGUAGCUAAUACCGCGUACCAUAGGAUGAGCCUAAUUGGGAUUAGCUAGUUGGUGGGGUAAUGGCUCACCAAGGCGACGAUCUAUAGCUGGUUUGAGAGGAUGAUCAGCCACGCUGGGACUGAGACACGGCCCAGACUCCUACGGGAGACAGCAGUGGGGAAUAUUGGACAAUGGGCGAAAGCCUGAUCCAGAAAUACCGCGUGUGUGAAGAAGGCCCUAGGGUUGUAAAGCACUUUUGGUAGAGAGAUGUUACCUAAUGAAUAAGCACCGGCUAACUCAGUGACAGCAGCCGCGGUAAUAC